CACAGCCUCCAGGUCCGCCAUCUUGGUAGGAGAGAGAGAGAGAGCUACAGCAGCAGGGUGAAGAGUCUUUAGAGCAAAAUAGGAGAGAGGCACAGGCUCCCACAAACAACCAGAGACGGGCACCAGGCAGCGUGGGGAGAUCACUGCAACCUCCCCAGGGGAUGAGUCCAGAAACCCUGCUGCAAAACCUGAAAGGGAAGAAAAAAACUAGGAGCCUCUUCAAAGAACUAACAGCCAGAAACUCUGUCCCAACUGUAUCAUCUGGGAACCAGCCAGGCUUCAGUUCUCAUUCCUGGGAAUAGGAAACCUUCAGGAUGGCUGUUGAGAGAAGAUCCUCCUUUUCUAAGCCCCCCUCUCCACUACUGCCCAACUCGGAUCUUCUCUGCUCCCAGCGGCCUUUAUUUCUCCUCUCUCUUUUUGGUGCAGCCUGAUGCUUUCUGUUGUACAGUGGCCAUGAGCAGAGACUGUAAGCUUUCCACUUCCUCCUGGUGUCAAAACGGAUCUCUCCGAAAACGUGGAACUGGAGUUCUCCUAAUUUUCAGAGCAGAGGCUCGCUGGCUGGAUCCAGGGUCACUCACUGUCUGCGGGUUUCUCCUUUGAGGACCUGGAUGAUGUUGGCAAAGUGAGGAUUUAUUCACCAAGCCUAAUUGCACUCAAUGAGAUGAUGGUUCCCUAACCAUCUGCUUCAGGUCUGGUCUAACGGCACCAUCCUUCAUGGGGUUCAGAGUAAAUAUUGAGUCUUCCCAGAGCAACUGCCACUUGACUGUGUACCACUGUGCCACCACCUCUGCCUUCACUGACUGGAUAAACCUAUGGAUAGUGAGUGGUGAUGACAGGAACAUUGUCUGUAAUGUAUGAUUCUGUGAUAACAACUAUGUCAGGCUUUAUUUGACUAGUCUGUGGGACUGCUGUCCCAAUUUUGGCACCAGCCCCCACAUAUUAGAAAAGAGGACUCUGCACGGUCAGCAGGUCAGUGAAUGUUUUGUCAUUUCCAGUUUCUGUUCAAUGCUAGAUGGCCUGUCAAAUUUAAUUCCUUUAUCAGACUCUGUAGUGGUUAGAUACAUCCGUGUGGCUUGCUGGACCAUUAAAGGGUCAACUGCAUUGCAAUGUAGGCCAGGCAAGUAUGGCAGGUCUUAUUUCCGUAACAGGCAUUAGUGAACCAGAUUGUUUUUGGGAGAGGAGAAACAAACUAGUACUUGUUCAUAAUUUGGAAGGACAUAUUGUGUAUCCUUUCUAUUACUUCUUCAAAUAAUUCAAGAAGAUUGUUGAAACACAAAUGCUUGAAAAGGAGUAUCAGAGAUAAUGGGAACUGCAGA